AGUGAACGCUGGCGGCAGGCCUAAUACAUGCAAGUCGAACGGCAGCACAGCAGAGCUUGCUCUGUGGGUGGCGAGUGGCGGACGGGUGAGGAAUACAUGGGAAUCUGCCCAGUCGUGGGGGAUAACGUAGGGAAACUUACGCUAAUACCGCAUGCGCCCUUCGGGGGAAAGCCGGGGACCUUCGGGCCUGGCGCGAUUGGAUGAGCCCAUGUCGGAUUAGCUAGUUGGCGGGGUAAAGGCCCACCAAGGCGACGAUCCGUAGCUGGUCUGAGAGGAUGAUCAGCCACACUGGAACUGAGACACGGUCCAGACUCCUACGGGAGGCAGCAGUAGGGAAUAUUGGACAAUGGGCGCAAGCCUGAUCCAGCCAUGCCGCGUGAGUGAAGAAGGCCCUCGGGUUGUAAAGCUCUUUUGUCCGGAAAGAAAAGCAUCCAGUUAAUACCUGGGUGUCCUGACGGUACCGGAAGAAUAAGCACCGGCUAACUUCGUG
rnacentral:rRNA from 2 species